AUUGAACGCUGGCGGCAGGCCUAACACAUGCAAGUCGAACGAGUGGCGGACGGGUGAGUAAUGUCUGGGAAACUGCCCGAUGGAGGGGGAUCACUACUGGAAACGGUAGCUAAUACCGCAUACCAUCGGAUGUGCCCAGAUGGGAGUCGCUUGUAGGUGAGGUAACGGCGCACCUAGGCGACGCUCCCUAGCUGGUCUGCGAGGAGGACCAGCCACACUGGAACUGAGAAACGGUCCAGCCUCCUACGGGAGGCAGCAGUGGGGAAUAUUGGACAAUGGUCGCAAGCCUGAUGCAGCCAUGCCGCGUGUAUGAAGAAGGCCUUCGGGUUGUAAAGUACUGUCAGCGGGGAGGCGUUACCCGCAGAAGAAGCACCGGCUAACUCCGUGCCAGCAGCCGCGGUAAUAC
rnacentral:rRNA from 1 species